rnacentral:rRNA from 1 species
UACGAAGGGUGCAAGCGUUACUCGGAAUUACUGGGCGUAAAGCGUGCGUAGGUGGUGAGUUAAGUCUGUCGUGAAAGCCCCGGCUCAACCUGGGAAUGGCGAUGGAUACUGGCUCGCUAGAGUGCGGUAGAGGAGAGUGGAAUUCCCGGUGUAGCAGUGAAAUGCGUAGAGAUCGGGAGGAAACAUCAGUUGCGAAGGCGGCUCUCUGGACCAGCACUGACACUGAGGCACGGAAAGCGUGGGGAGCAAACAGG